AUGCGACAUUUGGCAUGCCACGCUGGAUUUUGGCCUGCGCCUUUAAUUUUACAAAAGCCCCCUCGCACUCUGUGUAUUUUACAAAAAGCCCCCCGCCCUCUCUCUCUGCAUCGAUUCCCCAUUCGUAAAUCCCUAGCCGUCGCCCUCCCCUUUGCCGUCGCCCUUGUCCGCCGCCAGCCGUCUCCGCCUUCCCCUCCGACGCCAGCCGUCUCCGCCGCCCUCUCCGUCGGCAGCCGUCUCGGUCGCCCUGUCGAGAUGAAGGGGUGCACAUCAUUGAGCGGGAAGCAGCAGGCAGGACGCCGUGGAGCAGGGGCGUCGUCAUCCUCAAGCCACCCUCUCCCGCUCAAUGGAUGUGACCUCGCCGGUGCCGACAUGACGAAGGACGACGAGCCUUGGGCGAAAAUCACCGGAGAGGUGCGCUACAUGGAUGUCGAUUUCUGCAAGGGGACUGAAAACCUACCUGAAUUUGACUGGAGUAUACCUCUAUCCUCUCCUGAUGCUGCUUUCAAUGGCAGUGACAAAAGUGACCAUUGUUGCCACUUACUGAACCCUGCGAGAAGAGUUUGCUCUGAUGGAUAUGACUAUGGUCGUAGAUUUCUUGUUUGUCCUCGUGAGGGUUAUGAUACAUGUGCUUAUCUGAAGUGGGUGGACAAAGAAUGGCAGGGGAGACCUAGGCAGGUGAUUGGCAAACUUGCUGAAGAGAAUGUGGCUCUUCAGAAAUUUGUGUUUGACAAGGAUGCUGAAAUUAUGAGGCUGAAGGAAGAAAGGAAGGCCAUGAUCAUGAAGCACAAGAAGGAGAUCAGAACUAGGGAUAGGAGGGAAAUUUGGUUAGCCUGUUUGGUCUGCUGCUCUGCACUGUUGUAUGGUGUUGUAGCACUAGUGAUAAGAGGUUUUGUGUAG
rnacentral:rRNA from 1 species